rnacentral:rRNA from 1 species
AUUGAACGCUGGCGGCAUGCCUUACACAUGCAAGUCGAACGGUAACAGGUCUUCGGAUGCUGACGAGUGGCGAACGGGUGAGUAAUACAUCGGAACGUGCCCGAGAGUGGGGGAUAACGAGGCGAAAGCUUUGCUAAUACCGCAUACGAUCUCAGGAUGAAAGCAGGGGACCGCAAGGCCUUGCGCUCACGGAGCGGCCGAUGGCAGCUUAGGUAGGUGGUGGGAUAAAAGCUUACCAAGCCGACGAUCUGUAGCUGGUCUGAGAGGACGACCAGCCAGACUGGGACGGAGACACGGCCCAGAAUCCGACGGGGGGCAGCAGUGGGGAAUUUUGGACAAGGGGGGCAAGCCUGAUCCAGCCAUGCCGCGUGCAGGAUGAAGGCCUUCGGGUUGUAAACUGCUUUUGUACGGAACGAAAAGACUCUGGUUAAUACCUGGGGUCCAUGACGGUACCGUAAGAAUAAGCACCGGCUAACUACGUGCCAGCCGCCGCCGUAAAAC